GUCUGUUAGUCUGAUAGUUUGUUAGUUUGUUUGUUAGUGUGUUAAUAGUCUAUGUCUAGUUUGCAUGUUGUAAACUUUCUUUUGCCUCGACCUUUUAACCACAAUUGACCAGAACUGCCGAAACCAGCUGAGUAAAGGAACUAGCUCUAAACUGAACUUUCUUGUAAUAGAUAUUUAAGGGGCUUUGGUGGCCAAGUGGUUAGCGCACUUGCCUUUCACCUCUGAGGCUGCAGGUUCGAGUCUCACUAAGUACCUUCUCAGUGCGACUCGAACCCAGUCCCCAUGUGAAAAGAGCAAAAGUCAACGCUCUGCCGAAAGCCGUGGGUUUUCCCCGGGUACUCCGGUUUCCUCCCACAGGGAAAGUUGACAGGGUGGGUUAGGUAAAAAGGGCCCACAGUAAUUGGCAUAUGCUGUUGUGGUGACCCUGCCCUAGUUGGCAAAGCUAAAUAAAUAAAUAAAUAUGC